rnacentral:rRNA from 1 species
CUUAAUACAUGCAAGUCAAACGUACUUUUAGAGUAGCAAUAUUCUAAAGGAAGUGGCGCACGGGGUGAGUAACACGCAGGUAAUCUGCCUUCAGGACUGACACAACUCGUCGAAAGACGGGCUAAUAUCAGAUAAUGCAGCGGCUCCGCAUGGAGACAGUUGUUAAAGUACAAGCGCCUGAAGAUGAGCCUGCGGUCCAUUAGCUAGUUGGUAGAGUAAAAGCCUACCAAGGCAACGAUGGGUAGCUGGUCUGAGAGGAUGAUCAGCCACACUGGAACUGAGACACGGUCCAGACUCCUACGGGAGGCAGCAGUAAGGAAUAUUGCUCAAUGGCCGAAAGGCUGAAGCAGCAACCGCCGCGUGAAGGAUGAAUGGCCUUUGGCCUGUAAACUUCUAGUAAAAGGGAAAAACAGUCAGGUAUAUCCUGAUUUGAUUGUACCUUUGAAGUAAGCCCCGGCUAACUACGUG